rnacentral:rRNA from 1 species
AACCGUGUACGUACAAGCAGUGGGAGCACAGAGCAAUCUGUGUGACUGCGUACCUUUUGUAUAAUGGGUCAGCGACUUAUAUUCUGUAGCAAGGUUAACCGAAUAGGGGAGCCGAAGGGAAACCGAGUCUUAACUGGGCGUUAAGUUGCAGGGUAUAGACCCGAAACCCGGUGAUCUAGCCAUGGGCAGGUUGAAGGUUGGGUAACACUAACUGGAGGACCGAACCGACUAAUGUUGAAAAAUUAGCGGAUGACUUGUGGCUGGGGGUGAAAGGCCAAUCAAACCGGGAGAUAGCUGGUUCUCCCCGAAAGCUAUUUAGGUAGCGCCUCGUGAAUUCAUCUCCGGGGGUAGAGCACUGUUUCGGCAAGGGGGUCAUCCCGACUUACCAACCCGAUGCAAACUGCGAAUACCGGAGAAUGUUAUCACGGGAGACACACGGCGGGUGCUAACGUCCGUCGUGAAGAGGGAAACAACCCAGACCGCCAGCUAAGGUCCCAAAGUCAUGGUUAAGUGGGAAACGAUGUGGGAAGGCCCAGACAGCCAGGAUGUUGGCUUAGAAGCAGCCAUCAUUUAAAGAAAGCGUAAUAGCUCACUGGUCGAGUCGGCCUGCGCGGAAGAUGUAACGGGGCUAAACCAUGCACCGAAGCUGCGGCAGCGACGCUGAUGCGUUGUUGGGUA